rnacentral:rRNA from 1 species
GGGGAAUAUUGGACAAUGGGCGGAAGCCUGAUCCAGCAACGCCGCGUGAGGGAUGACGGCCUUCGGGUUGUAAACCUCUUUCAGUAUCGACGAAGCGCCCGUGUGGGUGGUGACGGUAGGUACAGAAGAAGCACCGGCCAACUACGUGCCAGCAGCCGCGGUAAUACGUAGGGUGCGAGCGUUGUCCGGAAUUAUUGGGCGUAAAGGGCUCGUAGGCGGUUUGUUGCGUCGGGAGUGAAAACACUGGGCUUAACCGAGUGCUUGCUUUCGAUACGGGCAGACUUGAGGCAUUGAGGGGAGAACGGAAUUCCUGGUGUAGCGGUGAAAUGCGCAGAUAUCAGGAGGAACACCGGUGGCGAAGGCGGUUCUCUGGCAAUGUUCUGACGCUGAGGAGCGAAAGUGUGGGGAGCGAAC